rnacentral:lncRNA from 10 species
GACUCAGAAGAGAUAAGACUAGAGGCAGAGAUACUAGCUAAGAAGCUGUUGCAACAAUGAAAGAAGAAAUGAUGAGAACCUAAACUAAGGCAAUACUAAUAGAAGCAAAGAGAAGGGAAGAGAUUUCACAAGUUUAUAAGAAGAAAGUGAUGAGAACACCAAAGACAGAAUAUAUGGUUCUUCUAGAAGAUCCACUUUCAAUUUUACUAAAGUGAAUGACCCACUUUGAUGAAAAGAAUAAUGACUUCUAAGGUCUCUUACAACUCUAAUGUUACAAUUCUAUUGUUCCAUCUGGAAUUGCCUUUUGAAGACAGCACACCUGUGGCCUAAAACUUCCUUGGUGAACAUGUGAAAUAUUUUUUAAUGAAAGCCCAUUACAUAUAAAGCCAUACAACCCCAAACAUGCAGUGAUAAUGCUUAUAGCAAAGAAAAACCAAGUAAAGACACUAUCUACAUUUACCUACUCUGAUCCCAAUUGGCUGCAAACAGCAAAAGAAUCUUCCUGCCGUAAUGGUCUCGGUUUUCCAGCACCCCGGGGAACCCAUCGAUCAGAGCCCUCUUAAUGCCGGGAUCAUCUGC